AGCAGCCGCGGUAAAUUCCAGCUCCAAUAGCGUAUAUUAAAGUUGUUGCAGUUAAAAAGCUCGUAGUUGAAUUUCGGGAUUCAUCCGUUGGUCGGGCUUCACGGUCCGCACUGGUGUGAUGGGUUCCUACCUUCUGAAUAACCGGCAUGCCAUUAAUUUGGUGCGCCGGGGAAGCAGAACUAUUACCUUGAAAAAAUUAGAGUGCUUAAAGCAGGCCAGUGCCUGAAUAGGUUAGCAUGGAAUAAUAAAAUAGGACGGCAUGGUUCUAUUUUGUUGGUUUCUAGGAUCACCGUAAUGAUUAAUAGGGAUAGUUGGGGGCAUUAGUAUUCAAUUGUCAGAGGUGAAAUUCUUGGAUUUAUUGAAGACUAACUUCUGCGAAAGCAUUUGCCAAGGAUGUUUU
rnacentral:rRNA from 1 species